ACAUCACACAGCAUGGGACACAUCACACUGCAUGGGACACAUCACACAGCAUGGAACACAUCACACUGCAUGGGACACAUCACACUGCAUGAAAUACAUCACACUACAUGGGACACAUCACACAGCAUGGAACACAUCACACUGCAUGGGACACAUCACACAGCAUGGGACACAUCACACAGCAUGGAACACAUCACACAGCAUGGGACACAUCACACUGCAUGGGACACAUCACACUGCAUGGGACACAUCACACAGCAUGGGACACAUCACACUGCAUGGGACACAUCAUACUGCAUGAAAUACAUCACACUGCAUGGGACAUAUCACACAGCAUGGAACACAUCACACUGCAUGGGACACAUCACACAGCAUGGGACACAUCACACUGCAUGGGACACAUCACACAGCAUGGGACACAUCACACUGCAUGGGACACAUCACACAGCAUGGGACACAUCACACAGCAUGGA
rnacentral:lncRNA from 1 species